GAUAAACGCUGGCGGCGUGCCCUAUGCAUGCAAGUCGAACGUGAAGCCGGCUUCGGCUGGUGGAAAGUGGCGAACGGGUGAGUAACACGUAGGAACCUGCCCGGAAGUGGGGGAUAACCCCGCGAAAGCGGGGCUAAUACCGCAUGUGGUCGCAAGACUAAAGGUUCGGUGCUUCCGGAGGGGCCUGCGGCGGAUUAGCUAGUUGGUGGGGUAACGGCCUACCAAGGCGACGAUCCGUAGCUGGUCUGAGAGGAUGGUCAGCCACACUGGAACUGAGACACGGUCUAGACUCCUACGGGAGGCAGCAGCAAGGAAUUUUGCGCAAUGGGCGAAAGCCUGACGCAGCAACGCCGCGUGGGGGAAGAAGGCCUUCGGGUUGUAAACCCCUUUUGCGAGGGACGAAGAUCUGACGGUACCUCGCGAAUAAGCCACGGCUAACUACGUGCCAGCCGCCGCCGUAACAC
rnacentral:rRNA from 1 species